rnacentral:lncRNA from 1 species
GUUGGUUUAAUCUAUUCAUAUCUUUAUUUAUGUUUACAUCGCUUAUAUAGUCAUCUGAGGUCAAAUCGAUAGGUAAUUAGAUGGCGUCUGGACUAAAAUACACACGAAACGAACCUAUAUAUUAUCUACCCUAUGCUCUGUAAACUGUUUAUUUUAGACUUUUGAUAGUUUGGAUAAAUGUUUUACAUUGUUAUAAAUCAAAUAUGAGAAUUUGAGUCAAAUCGGUGACCAUGAAUUUGACAGCUAGUGCCCCUUUAAGUAUGUCUUAAUGUAGUAGCAUACAUGUGGGAGAUUUGGAAUGCUUUUAAAUAUUUCUGGAUCAAACACUAUUACAGGAAAAUACAAAAAGUAAUAAGGUAUAAAUAUAAAUCUUAGCUUAAUCUGUAGACUGGACAGAUGUUUAUAAUCUGCUGUUCCACUGUCUCAACUGUUGUUAUUUUCACUAUUCUCAAAUUCAGCAGUGCAAUUUUUUUUCUCAAGCAGGUGACAGCAUA